rnacentral:rRNA from 2 species
AAGUCGUAACAAGGUUUCCGUAGGUGAACCUGCGGAAGGAUCAUUACCGAGUUCAUGCCCUUCGGGGUAGAUCUCCCACCCUUUGUAUACUAUACCUUUGUUGCUUUGGCGGGCCGCCUAGCUACUGGCUUCGGCUGGUAAGUGCCCGCCAGAGAACCCAAAACCCUGAAUUAUUAGUGUCGUCUGAGUAAAAUAUUUAAUAUUUAAAACUUUCAACAACGGAUCUCUUGGCUCUGGCAUCGAUGAAGAACGCAGCGAAAUGCGAUAAGUAAUGUGAAUUGCAGAAUUCAGUGAAUCAUCGAAUCUUUGAACGCACAUUGCGCCCCUUGGUAUUCCGAGGGGCAUGCCUAUUCGAGCGUCAUUAUCACCCCUCAAGCCUAGCUUGGUGUUGAGACCUGCUGUCAAGGCAGUCUCUAAAAUCAGUGGCAGUGCUGUCAGGCUCUAAGCGUAGUAAAUUCAUCGCUAUAGACACCUGGUGGCCACUCGCCAGAACCCCCCCAUUUUUUAAUGAUUGACCUCGGAUUAGGUAGGGAUACCCGCUGAACUUAAGCAUAUCAAUAAGCGGAGGAAAAGAAACCAACAGGGAUUGCCUCAGUAACGGCGAGUGAAGCGGCAAAAGCUCAAAUUUGAAAUCUGGCUCUUUUAGGGUCCGAGUUGUAAUUUGUAGAAGAUGUUUCGGGUGUGGCUCCGGUUUAAGUUCUUUGGAAUAUUACAUCAUAGAGGGUGAGAAUCCCGUAUGUGACCGGCAGCCUUCGCCUAUGUGAAACUCUUUCGACGAGUCGAGUUGUUUGGGAAUGCAGCUCAAAAUGGGAGGUAUAUUUCUUCUAAAGCUAAAUAUUGGCCAGAGACCGAUAGCGCACAAGUAGAGUGAUCGAAAGAUGAAAAGCACUUUGGAAAGAGAGUUAAACAGUACGUGAAAUUGUUGAAAGGGAAGCGCUUGCAACCAGACUUGCACGCAGUUGAUCAUCCGGUGUUCUCACCGGGGCACUCUGCUGCGUUCAGGCCAGCAUCGGUUUUGGUGGUUGGAUAAAGGCCUUGGGAAUGUGGCUUCCUUCGGGGAGUGUUAUAGCCCUCGGUGCAAUGCAGCCUACCGGGACCGAGGACCGCGCUUCGGCUAGGAUGCUGGCGUAAUGGUUGUAAGCGACC